rnacentral:rRNA from 1 species
AGUGAACGCUGGCGGUAGGCCUAACACAUGCAAGUCGAACGGCAGCACAGGAGAGCUUGCUCUCUGGGUGGCGAGUGGCGGACGGGUGAGGAAUACAUCGGAAUCUACUCUUUCGUGGGGGAUAACGUAGGGAAACUUACGCUACUACCGCAUACGACCUUCGGGUGAAAGCAGGGGACCUUCGGGCCUUGCGCGAUUGAAUGAGCCGAUGUCGGAUUAGCUAGUUGGCGGGGUAAAGGCCCACCAAGGCGACGAUCCGUAGCUGGUCUGAGAGGAUGAUCAGCCACACUGGAACUGAGACACGGUCCAGACUCCUACGGGAGGCAGCAGUGGGGAAUAUUGGACAAUGGGCGCAAGCCUGAUCCAGCCAUACCGCGUGGGUGAAGAAGGCCUUCGGGUUGUAAAGCCCUUUUGUUGGGAAAGAAAAGCACUUGGUUAAUACCCUUGUGUUCUGACGGUACCCAAAGAAUAAGCACCGGCUAACUUCGUGCCAGCCGCCGCGGUAA